AUACGUAGGGAGCGAGCGUUGUCCGGAUUUACUGGGUGUAAAGGGUGCGUAGGCGGCUUAUCAAGUCAGGCGUGAAAUAUAUGGGCUUAACCCAUAGACUGCGUUUGAAACUGAUGAGCUUGAGUGAAGUAGAGGUAGGCGGAAUUCCCGGUGUAGCGGUGAAAUGCGUAGAGAUCGGGAGGAACACCAGCGGCGAAGGCGGCCUACUGGGCUUUAACUGACGCUGAGGCACGGAAGCAUGGGUAGC
rnacentral:rRNA from 1 species